rnacentral:rRNA from 1 species
UGGGGAAUAUUGGACAAUGGGGGCAACCCUGAUCCAGCAAUGCCGCGUGUGUGAAGAAGGUCUUCGGAUUGUAAAGCACUUUCGACGGGGACGAUGAUGACGGUACCCGUAGAAGAAGCCCCGGCUAACUUCGUGCCAGCAGCCGCGGUAAUACGAAGGGGGCUAGCGUUGCUCGGAAUGACUGGGCGUAAAGGGCGUGUAGGCGGUUUACACAGUCAGAUGUGAAAUCCCCGGGCUUAACCUGGGAGCUGCAUUUGAUACGCGUAGACUAGAGUGUGAGAGAGGGGUUGUGGAAUU